rnacentral:lncRNA from 1 species
CCCCCGUAUUCCCAUUUCCUGCCUUACCUUCUUUUUCUAGAAAGCAUACUUUUCUAUUUUUUUUCGAACUAUGUGCUUAACACAUGGAGUGAACAGUGGGUAAGAACAACUAUAAACUUUUCUAUCUAUGCCUUGAGAGUCAGGCCAGUUUCAAGCUAUAUCGCAAGCUAAUUGCAAGGUCUUUUGAAAGUCCUUAUUCAUCGUAGUUUCCCCUUACAACCCAUUCAUUGCUUUUUAUUUGAAAGUCAAGCCAUCUACCCCUGUUACGUAGGUCGAGCUACUCCGUUCCUCUUAUUUGAGUUUGAGUCCUUGGGCAGUGACAGAAAAAUUCUCAAGCUCUAAAGCAAGUGUGUACCCUAUUUACUGUCUGAAACAAGUA